UUCUGUAAAUUCAUGUCAUGCAUGUCGUGCCUCGUGGUCGCGCGAUCACGUUGCACGUUACCAGCGCCAACCAAUGAGCAUUCGUUGCAUCCGUACGUCAUACGCGUCAGGGCGCGUUUCUUGUCUUCUGCUUCUGCACGGGUAGACGCGCGAAAAACUAUUGCUAUACUCGCAUCAACAAAAAUGUGAAUUCCAGCGUCACUGUCCGGCGUUGCCCAGAAGUGUCCAAUUGUUCCCAUCGCUGCCCUUCCCGCGUCUGGACUGGUCGCUCUCGCUAGGAGAUGACUCGCUAGGUGGCCAAUGAAAAACGCUCUGCCACCUGACGUCACGAGACUCGAGGAGCCGCUGGGCACACUGCGCGCUCUCUUGCAAAGCAAUUUUCUCAGUAAAUUCGAACUUCCUAAAUGAAAUAUUUUGCGCGGCUGUUCCUGAAGGUAGUACAUGCUCAUACGGCGGAGUAAAAAGAUAUAUAUGUUCCAAGUCCCUUCCAUGCUCCUUUAAUGUUGCCUCUCCAAAUAAUGGACUUGCCGGAAUCCCAAUUCAUCGGCUGUACAAUACUGCAUUAUUUGAGAAAGAGUCACUCCGUUGUGUAAGACAAUUUAAGGUGGUCUUAAAUGCUCUGCACAGAGAUCUGGAUUUUAAUUUCUAAAACGACAGAUAAUGAGGAGGAGGUACUUUGUUUAUUUGCUUUGUAACCUUUUUCUGGCCUUCAGUUGGUAGUGAUAUUAUGUGCACACCUGAUGCAUAUGAACUGGGGCAGGGCCGGGAAAUGCUUUUGAGUCGCGGCUCUGUAUUUGAGUGGAUUUCGGUCACUGCAUAAAUUGGCCAUACCAAAAUGUUGAAAAACGUUGAGGCAAGCAUAAGCAGAUAGACCUGAGGGGAGAACCUAUCUGUCAUGUUGAUGAGUGACCAAUAUUAACUGCACGACGACACCAUCAUGAUUCAUAUACAGAGGUCAUGAGAGGAUAUUUCACUAUAUUCCAGUACAACAUGCAACUAUCAAUUGUCACAAAUGGUAGUCAUAUGGUAGUCAUAGUAGCAUUUUCACAUCGGGGAGCCAUUUCACAACUCUGCAAGAUCCAGCUUUAACUGCACCGACUUGAAAGACAUCAAUGACAAGUCCGCCUCUGUAGACUGUGAGCAUGUUACUUUGAAAAAAAAGAAAAAAAAAAGCUUUGUCACUUGGUCUGUUACUUGUCAAGUCAAGUCGUACGAUUCUAGCGACUGAGAUUGUGGUACGGCAACACAGCAUCAUACAAUUGUAGCACCUCGCCGCCCCGACUCCAGUGCAAUCCCGUUAAUUCGAACUUCCGGAUAAUUCAAACUCUUGCUCGAGUCUUGUCAAAAUCGUGUAUAGUUGAACGAGACAAAACGCCCAGCAAUUCCAACACAUGGACGUGCAUACUGCUUUAUUCGAACGAGAAUUCGACCUGUCGACGCACCGGGCCAGAAGCGCACGGACAUUCACCUGUGACGUGUCCAAGCCAUGUUUACUUAUCAAGUGAUAAGUUCACUUAAUUUAAUUAUAAGACAAUUACUCAUGAAGCAGAUACUUGUGCCACAGGAAAGAGGAUAGCAAGGAAUGAAUCACAGUCAUGGCGUGCAUGAGCGCGCCCGACUUUCCUCCUUUGUCUUUCCUUCUCUGAAAAGGCCUUUAGACUGCCCGUGUUUGUCAGGGGGCAAAAGCAACACUGUUUCAAUGGUUGAUUGAUUCAACUGAAUUAUUAUCACAAUACAUAGACUUUUCCUGUUGAUUACACAGCCAAUACAAAGGCGUGGACGACAGUAAAUAUUUUCUUGAAUUGGUAUGGUGGGAUUCAUGUUUGUGUGGUUUGCAAUUGGGUUGCGUUUCUUGGGGGAUUAUAUAUAUAGUUCCUUAUAUUCUUUCAUUGAGACAGACUAGAACUCUGCUUCCUUCCAACCAAUCUUCAGUCCCCUUCGAGUUCAAAGUAACGGGAUUGCGCUGCAGUACCCAUGUUAUAAAUAAAGGUCAAGGUGUAACAGAUGAUCAAUCACAGUUGAAUGUGUUUCGUAUUUGAAACUAAACACACGGCUGGUACGUGUGAAACGGCCCCGAGGCUCGUGUUCAAGAUGACGUGGGCAAUGGCAGUUGCUUUGUGGACUCCCAACUGCAAUCAAUAAGAGCAUGCUUGCUCCAAUAAAGGAUUUAUUCAAAACUUCCAUUUUUUUUUUUUUUAGUAUCUUAUAGCUGGCAUCUAUGAAGGGCAGUAAAAUAUUCAACAUAAAAUUAACGCAUGGCACCAGCGUUUAGAAUGAAGCAGCGUAAUUCACAGUGCAAGGAACGCAAGAAUAAGACAAUGUAGGAUGU